rnacentral:rRNA from 1 species
CCUACGGGUGGCAGCAGUGAGGAAUAUUGGUCAAUGGACGGAAGUCUGAACCAGCCAUGCCGCGUGCAGGAAGACGGCUCUAUGAGUUGUAAACUGCUUUUGUCCAAGGGUAAACCUGAAUACGUGUAUUCCGCUGAGAGUACUCUACGAAUAAGGAUCGGCUAACUCCGUGCCAGCAGCCGCGGUAAUACGGAGGAUCCAAGCGUUAUCCGGAUUGAUUGGGUGUAAAGGGUACGUAGGCGGAUUGAUAAGUUAGAGGUGAAAUGUUCGAGCUUAACUCGGGAACUGCCAGUAAUACUGUAGAUCUAGAGAGUAGGUGCGGUAGGCAGAAUGUAUGGUGUAGCGGUGAAAUGCUUAGAGAUCAUACAGAAUACCGAUAGCGAAGGCAGCUAACUAAUUUAUAUCUGACGUUGAGGCACGAAAGCGUGGGGAGCAAACAGGAUUAGAUACCCUUGUAGUC